GAAUAUUCUGGCAGAGGAGCCACUGACAUUUACUAAUUCAAAAUCAGCUGUUCAGACUUACAGAUGGGAGGUGGCAAUGACUUUGCUCAAGGAGACAGAUAAUCUCGAAGAUGUGUGCCACUACUGUGGAGAAAAAAGUGGAGAAACAGAAAAAAGCAAACGUGGGAAAAAAAAGAAAGGGCAAGCAUGCAAUACUGUCUGGUUACCCAACCCACUCAUUAGGACUCCCCCUAAUACUAGUGAUGCCCCAACACACCAGGAGGAUGAAGACCAACCCCCCCCUUUCUCUGACAGGUGAAGUCAGACUCUGCCUAUUUUUGAACAGCUGCUGAUGCAGCAUUGCCAAGUAGCAUCAUCAGCUCACAGACGCCUUGUGCUGAUCGAAAUCAUCCUUUGGAGUGAUGAGGGGAAAGAGUGCCAUGUACCCACCCAGAGAGAGCAAGGCCAAUUUUGCUGCCUGAGGGUUCCGGUAGCUAAUGGCAACUACAUAAACAGGAUUUGAACCGGCGAGCUCCUGGUCAUAGAGGCAGUGCAAAGCCUGCUGGACCACUCGGAGGCCAUCACUAUGUUUUGUUUUGACAGAAAGGUUUGUGUUUAUGUGUAUGUAUCUUUUGCAUGUUUUCCCAUUAUUUGAGCUUGAUUAUUAUGUAGACUUUGCAAUAAAUAAGUAUUUUCAA